ACUCCUACGGGAGGCAGCAGUAGGGAAUCUUCCACAAUGGGCGCAAGCCUGAUGGAGCAACACCGCGUGAGUGAAGAAGGGUUUCGGCUCGUAAAGCUCUGUUAUUAAAGAAGAACACGUAUGAGAGUAACUGUUCAUACGUUGACGGUAUUUAACCAGAAAGUCACGGCUAACUACGUGCCAGCAGCCGCGGUAAUACGUAGGUGGCAAGCGUUAUCCGGAUUUAUUGGGGCGUAAAGAGAGUGCAGGCGGUUUUCUAAGUCUGAUGUGAAAGCCUUCGGCUUAACCGGAGAAGUGCAUCGGAAACUGGAUAACUUGAGUGCAGAAGAGGGUAGUGGAACUCCAUGUGUAGCGGUGGAAUGCGUAGAUAUAUGGAAGAACACCAGUGGCGAAGGCGGCUACCUGGUCUGCAACUGACGCUGAGACUCGAAAGCAUGGGUAGCGAACAGGAUUAGAUACCCUGGUAGGAUAGCG
rnacentral:rRNA from 1 species